UGAGGAAUAUUGGACAAUGGGUGGAAGCCUGAUCCAGCCAUCCCGCGUGAAGGAUGACGGUCCUAUGGAUUGUAAACUUCUUUUGUACAGGGAUAAACCUGCCCUCGUGAGGGCAGCUGAAGGUACUGUACGAAUAAGCACCGGCUAACUCCGUGCCAGCAGCCGCGGUAAUACGGAGGGUGCGAGCGUUAUCCGGAUUUAUUGGGUUUAAAGGGUCCGUAGGCGGGCCUGUAAGUCAGUGGUGAAAUCUCAUAGCUUAACUAUGAAACUGCCAUUGAUACUGCAGGCCUUGAGUAAAUUUGAAGUGGCUGGAAUAAGUAGUGUAGCGGUUAAAUGCAUAGAUAUUACUUAGAACACCGAUUGCGAAGGCAGGUCACUAAGAUUUAACUGACGCUGAUGGACGAAAGCGUGGGGAGCGAACA
rnacentral:rRNA from 1 species